GGAUUGUGUCUCAGAGGUAGAGUGCAUGCCUAGCACGUGCGAGGCCCUGGGUUGGAUCCUCAGCACCA
rnacentral:tRNA from 1 species